CAAAAGCCCGGUUCUCGCGAUAUUCCUUGAGGUUUCCGGUGUUGUGAGUGUGUCUGCUAAAGAUGGCGGUCAGCAUCCGAGGCCGUCCUAUCCGAAGUAUACGGAUGCGAGGUCGGAAUGACAGUGGGGAGGAAAAUGUACCUCUCGAUCUCACAAGAGACCCCUCUGAGAACAUGCGAGAGAUCCUCCAGAAUGUGGCCAAACAGCAAGGAGUCUCGAAUAUGCGCAAACUCGGCCACCUGAACAACUUCAUCAAGCUGCUCUGCAAUGUCGGGCACGCUGAGGAAAGGUUUGGCUUUACCCAUGAAGAAAUUAUCAUAUGCCUCAGGUUGGCGCUGCUCAAUGAGGCUAAGGAGGUGCGGGCGGCUGGUUUGCGUGCUCUCCGCUACCUCAUCCGAGACAGUAAUAUCCUUCAGAAAGUGCUCCGGCUCCAGGUGGAUUACCUGAUUGCCAGGUGCAUUGACAUCCAACAGAGUAAUGAGGUGGAACGCACACAAGCACUCCGACUGGUGAGAAAGAUGAUCACUGUGAACGCCCUGCUCUUCCCAAGCUCAAUCACAAACUCCCUCAUAGCUGUGGGUAACGAUGGACCGCAGGAGCGGGACCGUAUGGUUCGUGCCUGCAUCGCCAUUAUCUGUGAACUUGCACUGGAGAACCCUGAGAUUGUGGCUAAGAGGGGUGGUCUCAGCACCAUCCUGAAGAAUGUAAUCGACAGCCAGCUCAGUCGUAUCAAUGAGGCUCUUAUGACCACCAUCCUGCACUUGCUCAAUCACCCACAUACACGGCAAUAUGUUCGCUCUGACGUGGAGCUUGAGCAAAUCCUGGCACCUUACACAGACUUUCACUACAGACACAAUCCAGACACAGCAGAGGGUCAACUCAAAGAAGACAGGGAGGCUCGAUUUCUGGCCAGUAAGAUGUCAAUUGUUGCUUCCCUUCGCUCUUGGUCAGGUAUCAUUAAUCUCUGCAAAUCAGGCAACUCUGGAAUCCAGUCUCUCAUUGGUCUGCUGUGUAUACCAAAUAUGGAAGUGAGGCGAGGUCUUCUGGAGGUGAUGUAUGAUAUAUUCAGACUCCCUGUUCCCGUGGUGACACAAGAUUUUAUAGAAGCUCUACUCAGUGUGGACCCCAGUAGGUUUCAGGACAGUUGGAGACUGUCAGAUGGAUUUGUAGCCUCAGAAGCAAAAAUAAUUCUUCCGCAUAGGGCACGGUCCAGACCUGAUUUGAUGGAUAACUAUCUUGCCUUGCUACUUUGUACAUUCAUCCACAGUGGACUUUUAGAGGGCCUGGUUGAAGUGAUCACUAGCAGUGAUGAUAGUGUUUCAGUGCGUGCAACCAUCCUUUUAGGAGAACUCCUGCAUAUGGCCAACACCAUUCUUCCCCACUCCCAUAGUCACCACCUGCACUGUCUGCCCACUCUUAUAAACUUGGCUGCUUCUUUUGACAUUCCUCAGGAGAAAAGACUACGGGCAAGUGCUGCAGUCAAUUACUUGAAGCGAUUUCAUGAGAAGAAGAAACGAGGCCCCAAACCCAAUAGUCUUUACUUGGACCUCAUUAUUCGCAAAUCGCUGGCUGCUCAUUACUGUCGGGACCAGCACCUAAGGCCCCAGAGGGACAUUUUUGUCAUUAAGGACACUGAGGAGGCGCUGAUGAUGAACCUCAGAGACAGUCAGAUACUCAAUCAUAAACAGAAUUUGGAAUGGAACUGGAUCCUGAUCGGUACCAUACUCAAGUGGCCAAAUACUAACCUUCGGAACAACAAAGACGAACAGAUGCACAAGUUUGUGCGAAGGCUGCUGUUCUUCUACAAGCCUAGCAGCAAGCUGUAUGCUAGCCUGGAGCUGGACCACAGCAAGGCCAGGCAAUUAACGGUGGUGGGCUGUCAGUUCAUUGAGUUCCUUCUGGAGUCAGAUGAGGAUGGCCAGGUGUAUCUUGAGGACCUGGUGAAGGACAUUGUCCAGUGGCUGUCCUCAUCCUCUGGGCUGAAACCAGACCGUAGUCUGCAGAGCAACGGCCUCCUCACCACUCUCAGCCAGCACUACUUCCUUUUCCUCGGCACUCUCUCUGCCCACCCGCAGGGUGUUAAGAUGCUUGAGAAGUGCAGCGUCUUCCAAUGCCUGCUGAACCUGUGCUCCUUGAAGAACCAGGACCAUCUUCUGAAGCUGAUCGUUUCCACACUGGACUACAGUCGGGAUGGCUUGGCACGAGUCAUCCUCUCCAAGAUCCUCACUGCUGCCACUGACAACUGCAGGCUGUACGCCACCAAGCAUCUGCGGGUGCUACUUCGAGCAAACGUGGAGUUCUUCAGCAACUGGGGUAUUGAACUGUUGGUGACUCAGCUACACGACCGCAACAAGGCCGUCUCGGUGGAGGCUUUGGACAUACUGGAUGAGGCCUGUGAAGACAAGGCAAACCUACACGCUCUGAUUCAGAUGAAGCCAGCGCUAACUCACCUGGGAGACAAGGGUGUGCUGUUGCUGCUACGGUUUUUGUCCAUUCCAAAGGGGUUCUCCUAUCUAAAUGAAAGGGGAUAUGUAACUAAACAACUGGAAAAAUGGCAGAAGGAAUACAACCUGAAGUAUGUGGACCUCAUAGAGGAACAGCUAAAUGAAGCACUCACUACUUACCGAAAACCAGUGGAUGGAGAUAACUACGUGAGACGGAGCAACCAAAGGUUACAAAGACCAAAUGUUUUUCUUCCUGUGCAUUUGUAUGGGCAACUUGUACAUGAUAAGACAGGCUGUCAUUUGCUGGAAGCUCAGAAUGUAGUUUCAGACCUGAGCUACACAGUGCGCUGCCCAGUGCUGGACAAAUGGGAUGGCAUCAAACAGCUUAAAGCUGCUCUUUGGGCCCUGGGAAACAUUGGCACGUCUAACUGGGGUCUGAACCUGCUACAGGAAGAGAAUGUAAUUCCAGAUAUCAUCGCUCUUGCCCAUGACUGUGAGGUUCUGUCUAUUAGAGGGACAUGUCUUUAUGUUCUGGGACUCGUUUCUAAAACUAAGCAGGGAUGUGAGCUUCUCCAACUGCAUGGUUGGGAUGCAGUUAGGCACAAUCGCAGACAGCUUUGGCCUGUGGUGCCGGAUGAGGUGGAGCAGAGCCAGAACCUACAGCAGCAACAGCAACAACAACAGCAGCAACCCCUUAUCCACCUGUCAUCAGCGCCCAGCACCUUCAGCCUGAACUCUGAGUCCACCAGCUCUAGACAUAACAGCGAGAGUGACUCCACUCAGCCUAGCAUGUACAUCCUGGAUGAUGAUAAGUUAGAAAGUUCUGAACUUUCAGAGGACCAGCCACUGUACUUCAGGCCCAAACUCCUAAAGGACCGCAGCCCCUUCACCAUACUAGCCUCCAGUCGACUUGUCCGAAACCGCUUCCUCAUCUCCCUCUCUGGAAAAAAACUGCGUAGUACCAGUGACCCCAAAGGCACUGGUAGCAGCAGUAAACUCCAUGGUGAGCCCACAUUAGGAGGCCUAAGGAGGAUACGCACAGUUACAGAGCCCUCUAUAUUCUCUCAAGUACAGGGAGAUGUCUUCAGUCCUGUAUUUACUGACGGACAUCUGCCGAAAAGCCCAAGCGUUAGUCUGGAUACCUCUUUUGUAGGCAGCAAGACUUCGGAAACUCAGGGCAGCACAUCUAGUAUUGGGGAGCCGGAAGUACGUCUGAACAAAGCUGCAGAACGGAGCUCAGGGGUCGGAGACGCCCCCCGAGAGCAGACCAGUCGGGAAAGGCUGGCCGGAGAUGGCUCAACCUCUGGGGGCGGGGCUCAGUUUAAAAGUCGCAGCCAGAGUUUCAACACGGACACGACCACUAGUGGUAUCAGCUCCAUGAGUUCCAGCCCAUCCAGAGAGACGGUGGGUGGCGUGGACUCUUCCACCAUCGACACGGACUGUGUUAGCCUCAAUACAGUCAUUAGCACUCAAACUGUCAAAACACUUCACUCUCUCACGCCCCAGUCCAACCAUCUUCCCCUGUCCAAAUCUAACUCGGUACUGCUGAUGCCACCAGGUUCUUCUCAUACUUUGCCACGCAGGGCUCAGUCCCUUAAAUCGCCUUCUGUCACGACCAUUUCAAGCCUGACAGACUGUAGCUUCAUGUACACCAGCCCUCGGGACGCGCUGGGCUACGCUACCCUCAAACGACUACAGCAGCAGCGCAUUCACCCCUCCCUUUCCCAUAGCGAGGCGCUUGCCUCGCCUGCCAAAGACGUGCUCUACACCGAUGCCAUCACUAUGAAAACUGGCAGCCUGGACUCCAGACUCACACCACGCAGGUUUCUCAAGGCUUUGAGUUUUGCAUCUCUGGAUAAGGAGGAUCUUCUGAGCCCUAUCAGUCAAACCUCCCUGCAGCGCUCCUCCUCAGUGCGUUCAAUGGUGUCCAGUGCCACAUAUGGCAACUCCGAUGACUACAUUGGCCUUGCACUGCCAAUGAACAUCAACAGCAUGUUCCAGAUUAAAGACAUACCGUACUUCCAGAAGAGGACAAGUCCACCGUCAGAGGACCGAUCAGCAAAGUUCUUCUCGGGAGAUGCAGAUGGUUCCAGUGAAGGAUCCAGGCAUUCUGUUCUGCGAUCUCAGCUUAGUAUCACGGAGCUGAUUGCAGUGAGCCGUUCAGACCAGCACAAGCUGCUGGGUGCGGAGGAGACCGGCCUGCAGGAGCACAAUGAGGAGAACUGUCUUUACUGUGCAGGGCUCUACGUGCUUGGGUGUAAUUUAAACACUCCCACACAAAACCGCACAGACUAUCCCGAUGCUCCAUUCUCAGAAUGGUGCAAUCAGUCCUUACACAACCUGGACGUCAUGCCUCAGUCUAAGUACUCGGGAGUGUCUGGCUGCAGCGACGCGGUCUCUCAGGGCUCUGGUGGCAGCACACGCAGCACCGAGCUUGUUCUUGGGGUGAAAAAUAUUCCAGAGGAUGCUCCAGCGUGCCGUGUUCUUCUGAGGAAGGAGGUUCUUCGGCUGGUCAUCAAUCUGAGCUCCUCAGUGGGGACCAAAGGGAAUGAAACCGGACUCCUCACAAUCAAGGAAAAGUUUCCUUAUGCGUUUGAUGACAUCUGUCUGUAUUCCGAAGUUUCAUACUUGUUGGCCCAUUGCAUGUUCAGACUGGCUUCACGACGCUUCAUUCAGGAGCUCUUUCAAGAUGUUCAAUUCAUUCCGAUGUACGAAGAGGCUGAGAGCAUUCUGUCAAUGCCCAAGAAAUCUACCACAGUAGAUCUUCCACCAGAGCCGUGAUCCUCCAAGCGUUUUUCUCUUCCCCAACGCAGCAAGUUGUUGAUCUCUUUCUUGGCCUGAACAUGCGAAGAUGAAUACGCAAUAAGAGACUAGGGCUAUGAAACAGACAUGGGUGGAUUGAGACAGUCACGGGGUACAUUUCCACCGAGAGAGAAAAAGCGGCCUAGGCGUAUGAUUGCACGUAACAAAAGCAUUUUUUUUCCCUGAGUGGAUCCCUCAACACUACAACAUUCCAGCUGUUUUCUUUGGAUUUCUCUAUUACUAAUUCAGUUUUUUUUAAAUAUGAAAUGGCUUUCACAACCAGGCUGAGCAAACACUCUUAGUUCUGGUGUGAUUUGCUUUGUAAGACAAUCAUCAUUAAGUAAUAAUAAUUGUCAGCAACUGCCAGGUUUAAAAAAAAAAAAAAUGUAAUUUCCCUUUUGUACCUGACUCAUAAAAGGUAUUUUCUGCUUAUUGAUUUUUAUCUUGACGUAGCGCAUAGCAAUCCCUGAAUAAAUGUAUGUACAUGUAUUUGAUGGUGUUGAUACACAAUAAUGCAAUAGCGACUGUAUUGUAUUAUUGUGUAACUUUAACUGAUUUAUGAAACGUCAUCCAAAAAAAUCUGAAUUAGGAAGAUAUAUAUAUAUUUAUUUAUUUAUUCACUUAUUUAUUGUUCGGUCCAAGCAGCUCCUCUGUCCCUUUCACUUUUUAUUUUAGCCUAUUAGCUAGGAUAAAACUGACCGUGUGUUAUUUAUGUCUGACAGUCAGUGUAUGUGAAGACAACUGGCUUCAAAAGAGGAAGUUAAAGUGCAUUUCACCACUGCUAUUUUGCAGUUUUACUCUACUCUAAGUAAUUUUAGAUAUUUUUAACUAACCCAUAGAAAGUUUUCUCUUUCUGUAGCGAAAAUCAGUAAUUAUUGAAGCAUUAAUAAAACCAAGAUUCGCCAAACAUAUAUUUGUACAUGAGAAUACCUUUUGUACUUUAUUCUCUCUUUCGGAUUGCUAAUAAUGCUUUUUUUUUUUUUUUACCUGAAUGUGAUCGGGAGAUUUUGAACGGGCAAAAAACAUAUCGAGUUAAAAAGUAAGUUUAAACUGACCAGACAUGAUUGAGAAUGAUCCUUAAUAUAUGACAUGUUCUGCUUAAAUUCAACUGACCGUCAUCCAUAAACUACUAAACUUUAUCAUGGUCAAUUCUCAGUAUUUGACAUACCAAUUAUGGUUUAAUAAGAUUUCGAAAUGUCUUCAGGGUUAGGAUGAAUCUAGUUUAACAUUGCAUUAAAAAAAAAAAAAAACAUUACCAAAAAUGCUUAGAUCCCACUUUGUAAGUGUAAAUUUGAGGUUCAUUUGAAUUAUAUCUAUGCAAUGUGCCUGUUAAUUCUGUAUGCACAAAUGACUUGUUAUUGAAGAUAAGACGAUCACUUCAUUUUCUUGGCUGGACCAUUUAUAUUAUUUAGGCAGCUUUAAUUAUUUUGCCUUAUUUGUAUUAGCUUUAACCCUAACUUUUAGAAUUAAUGAAUUUGCCCUUUUUUCUUGUUUUAUUUAUUAUAGAAACUAAUAAAUCUGCCUUUGCCUGCCUUGGCUUUUGGAUUAAGCAUCAGGUUUAAACUUCCAUUUAUUUUUUUCUAUUGUAAAAACUGAGUCUGUUAUGGCCAGCAAUAAUUCUAGUUAUUGUUACAGUAUUUCCUUUUAGGCCUCCGGGGAAUUUAAGUGCAUGUGCAUUCUGACCCUUAUCCGCAUAGAACAAAAGAAAAGAAAUAUGGGAACUGUCCAAGAGCAACAGAUAAUGUUUGGGAUGGAACAUAUGAUGCAGUCUUUUUUUAAAUUAUAUACUGGCUUGACAUUGAACAAUAAUCAAGCCACUUAUAAAAUAUUAUUUUUUAACAAAAUAAAUCUGGAAUCUGCCCCUAAUAUUUUCAGAAGUGUUCUUGAAUAAAUAAUUUCCACAAAGUUAUUAGAGUGUGUGGUGAAAAUAUCCGAUAAUGCCAGAAGGUUGGGUCUUUUUCCACUGGGUUAAAUCAUGUUUUAUUAUUUUCUUGCUUCCAUUUUUCACUAGGGGUUAUGUGCAACCCAUGACUGGAAGCCAUUGUCAAAUUGUUUUAAAAUAAUUUUUGAAAUAAAAAAUGUACUGGUGUUUUUAAAAUCUUAGAAAUAAUAACGAGCGCCAAUUCUUGCAGAGUUAAUUGUAUUUGUGGAACAAGUCCCAAGUAUUUUAAAGGGGCUGUUUUCUCCAUCACUGUUAAUGCUAAGAGUGUAAAGGAAAUGCAUAUAUUUUAAAUGUACAUUUGUUUGUUGUGCAACAAACUAACUGCACCUUUCAGUGGGUUUUUUUUUCUUCCCUUUUCUUUUAACUGCACUCAUGAUUUUGCAGAGCACUGUAUGAAAUGUAAGCACCAUUUAAUAAUGAAAUUGCAGAGACUGAUGCAAGAAGUGUUAUUUAUAUUUUUCCUGAAGGGAAAAAGUAUCUAAAACUGUUGUACAUACUUAAAAUGUUUCUUUAAUUGUAUAAUUUAAUGUGUUUUGGGCGGCAUUAGCUAUGGGCCUUGAGAAUCUAAUGAAAGGGAUGAGUCCGUGAUAAAAAAAAUAAAGUAAACUUCAAUUUC